rnacentral:rRNA from 1 species
AACGAACGCUGGCGGCAGGCCUAACACAUGCAAGUCGAACGCCGUAGCAAUACGGAGUGGCAGACGGGUGAGUAACACGUGGGAACGUACCCUUCGGUUCGGAAUAACUCAGGGAAACUUGAGCUAAUACCGGAUACGUCCGAGAGGAGAAAGAUUUAUCGCCGAGGGAUCGGCCCGCGUCUGAUUAGCUUGUUGGUGAGGUAACGGCUCACCAAGGCGACGAUCAGUAGCUGGUCNGAGAGGAUGAUCAGCCACAUUGGGACUGAGACACGGCCCAAACUCCUACGGGAGGCAGCAGUGGGGAAGUAUUGGACAAUGGGCGCAAGCCUGAUCCAGCCAUGCCGCGUGAGUGAUGAAGG